rnacentral:rRNA from 1 species
CGUCUAUAUACGUAUAGCAUAUCAAUAAGCGGAGGAAAAGAAACUAACUAGGAUUCCCUCAGUAACGGCGAGUGAAGCGGGAAGAGCUCAAAUUUGAAAUCUUCAAGGUUUUACCUUGACGAAUUGUAGUUUAAAGAAGUGUUUUCUGUUGGAGUUUUGGUAAAAGUUCUUUGGAAAUAGGACAUCAUAGAGGGUGAGAAUCCCGUAUUUGACCAUUAUUUCCAACUUUGUGAUACACUUUCAAAGAGUCGGAUUGUUUGGGAAUGCAGUCCAAAAUGGGUGGUAAAUUUCAUCUAAAGCUAAAUACUGGCGAGAGACCGAUAGCGAACAAGUACCGUGAGGGAAAGAUGAAAAGAACUUUGAAAAGAGAGUUAAACAGUACGUGAAAUUGUCAAAAGGGAAGCGUUUGACACCAGUGUUGUUUUCUCGAAAAUCAAUUAAAAAAUGAUGGGAUUUUGUGUUGUAUUGACUUUAUCAGCUUUCUGCACCUCUUUCCUUGUCUUUUUUAAUGCACUUUUCGUUUAACAAGUCAACAUCAAUUUCUUUUGUUGUAAAAGGGUCAUUGGAAGGUGGCUUUCUUUUCGGAGAAAGUGUUUAUAGCCUUUGACUUCUGCAAUCGGAGAGAUUGAGGUCUGCAGCGUAGAUCCUUCGGGGUUAGAUGCAUUUGUGCUAAGUCAUAGCCUUUCAUAGACAACUUGUUGACUAUGAUCAGUCAUGUAGCUUACUCGCUUAUGUCAUUUUACCUACGCUUAGGAUGUUGACGAUCAGCUGAGCGCG